AUCUUACUUAACAAAUUAAAACCUUUUCUUUUGCAGAUUCCGACGACGACGAAGCACCCGAGGACCAACGACAACGGAAUGAUGCGGACGAAGCCUAACUGAUGUAAGUAAACUCCUCUUCAAUAACGCAUCACACUAUUAUCGCUCCCCAAUCUCACAAACUUUAGCUCUAAUCAGGCCAGGGAUCCCACAGGUGAUGUUGUCCCGACAACGGAGAAGAAAAAAAAGGAAAGAUAACCUAACGUUUUUUUUUUUUUUGUUUUUUAGUUUANNNNNNNNNNNNNNNNNNNNNNNNNNNNNNNNNNNNNNNNNNNNNNNNNNNNNNNNNNNNNNNNNNAAUCUGGUGAGUCAGUCUUUUGAAUCAUUGUGUGUUCUGUAUGUAUAUAUUGUUUGCUCAGUUUUUGCGUUGAAAGAAUGAGUUGUUAAAGUUUUCGUUUUGGUUAAUACUUCUCGGCUCAGAUUUGUAUUAGAGACUUUGAUUGAUUCCUACUUCUACAACACUUGGUUCCUCAUUUCUCUUGAUUUGCAUUGUAUAUCAGUCCUUGUCUCCUUUGCGGAGCUUGAGUUUGGCCACUGCGAGAGAGUUGUGAAGAGGUGGGCCGUGAAGAACAUCCUCCUAACAUAGACAAACGCUCGCUUCAGGAUCUGCUCUUCUUUCUCCAUGUUCCUCGAACUGGAGGCAUGACUUAUUUUCACUGGUGAUGAUCUCUCUCUCUUACCAAAAGUCUUUUUUUUUAUGAGUUAAUUGAAAAAGAUUUGUAUUUGAUUAAUGCUUUGUUUUUGGUAGUUUCUUGAGGAAGUUGUAUGAUAACGCUGAGGAAUGUCCUCGUUCUUACGACAAGCUCCACUUCGAUCCAAGGUAUCAUCUUACUCGAUGGAUUGCUAAUUUGACUUUUAGAUAAUCUUAGCACAGACAUGAGAUCAGUGGAUAGUUCGAAACCUUUUCAACAUUUUGGCUCAUCAGUUACUGACAUUUUUUUUUUUUUUUUUUUUUUUUUUGUUAAUCCAGGGGUUCUCUAUUUACGUGGGUCAUUCCCCUGGGUCCGGUUAGGCAGCGGUCCACUUCACCCGGGGGGGCUUUACCUGGGCUGGGGACAAGGCCCAACACCCAGUACCGCAUUUGGUGACAGAAUGGGCAGUUCACCUCUAUCUGGCAUCGAACCUGUGAGCAUGACGAUUGGCCCCCAGGAUCCUUACCAAGCGAGCUACCUCAUCCCGUCCUCGUUUAUGUUUUGUUAAACUAUUUUAAUCUUUAUGUUUUGUUAAACUAUUUCACACAGGGGGCAGAUCUCCUUAGAAGGGGAGCCACUCGCCACGAUGCUUAUAGUUUCAUCAUUCUUGAAACUCUUAUGAACCACAAAGCCAAUAUAAGAGCUCUGUUUCAAUCCAACGGCUGGAUUUUAUCA
rnacentral:lncRNA from 1 species